rnacentral:rRNA from 1 species
GACGAACGCUGGCGGCGUGCUUAACACAUGCAAGUCGAACGGCAACGCCCUGCUUUCGUGGGCUGAUCGGGUGGCGAACGGGUGCGUAACACGUGAGUAACCUGCUCUUCACUUUGGGAUAACUUCAGGAAACUGGGGCUACUACAGGAUAGGAGACCCUGCUGCAUGGUGAGGGUUGGAUAGUCUCGGCGGUCGGGGAUGGACGCGCGGCUUAUCAGCUAGCUGGUGGGGUAGUGGCUUACCAAGGCUUUGACGGGUAGCCGGCCUGUGAGGGUGACCGGCCACAUGGGGACUGAGGUACGGCCCAGACGCCUACGUUGGGCAGCAGUGGGGAAUAUUGCACAAUGGGCGGAAGCCUGAUGCGGCAACGCCGCGGGCGUGAUGACGGCCUUCUGGGUGUAAACCGCUGUCGCCUGUGACGAAGCGGUAGUGACGGUAAUGGGUAAAGAAGCACCGGCUAACUACGUG